rnacentral:rRNA from 1 species
GAUGAACGCUAGCUACAGGCUUAACACAUGCAAGUCGAGGGGAAACGGCAUUACGUGCUUGCACUUUUUGGACGUCGACCGGCGCACGGGUGAGUAACGCGUAUCCAACCUUCCCAUGACUAAGGGAUAACCUGCCGAAAGGCAGACUAAUACCUUAUGGUCUUCACUGACGGCAUCAGAUGUGAAGUAAAGAUUUAUCGGUUAUGGAUGGGGAUGCGUCUGAUUAGCUUGUUGGCGGGGUAACGGCCCACCAAGGCAACGAUCAGUAGGGGUUCUGAGAGGAAGGUCCCCCACAUUGGAACUGAGACACGGUCCAAACUCCUACGGGAGGCAGCAGUGAGGAAUAUUGGUCAAUGGGCGAGAGCCUGAACCAGCCAAGUAGCGUGCAGGAGGACGGCCCUAUGGGUUGUAAACUGCUUUUGUAUGGGGAUAAAGUCAAUCACGUGUGAUUGUUUGCAGGUACCAUACGAAUAAGGACCGGCUAAUUCCGUG